ensembl:miRNA mir-77 ncRNA
UUCAUCAGGCCAUAGCUGUCCA